rnacentral:rRNA from 1 species
GAUGAACGCUGGCGGCGUGCUUAACACAUGCAAGUCGAACGGUAAGGCCCUUCGGGGUACACGAGUGGCGAACGGGUGAGUAACACGUGGGUGAUCUGCCCUGCACUUCGGGAUAAGCCUGGGAAACUGGGUCUAAUACCGGAUAGGACCCUGGGAUGCAUGUCCUGGGGUGGAAAGCUUUUGCGGUGUGGGAUGGGCCCGCGGCCUAUCAGCUUGUUGGUGGGGUGAUGGCCUACCAAGGCGACGACGGGUAGCCGGCCUGAGAGGGUGACCGGCCACACUGGGACUGAGGUACGGCCCAGACUCCUACGGGAGGCAGCAGUGGGGAAUAUUGCACAAUGGGCGCAAGCCUGAUGCAGCGACGCCGCGUGAGGGAUGACGGCCUUCGGGUUGUAAACCUCUUUCAGCACCGACGAAGCGCAAGUGACGGUAGGUGCAGAAGAAGGACCGGCCAACUACGUGCCAGCCGCCGCAGUAA